rnacentral:rRNA from 1 species
GGCAGACGGGUGAGUAACAUGUAGGUAUCUACCCUUUGGCCUGGAAUAACACGAGGAAACUUGUGCUAAUACCGGAUAAGUCUUUACGGAGAAAGCUUUAUGCACCAUUGGAUGAGCCUGCACUUGAUUAGUUUGUUGGUGGGGUAAUGGCCUACCAAGACUGUGAUCAAUAGCUGAUUUGAGAGGAUGAUCAGCCACAUUGGGACUGAGACACGGCCCAAACUCCUACGGGAGGCAGCAGUGGGGAAUCUUGCACAAUGGAGGAAACUCUGAUGCAGCGAUGCCGCGUGAGUGAAGAAGGCCCUUGGGUUGUAAAGCUCUUUCGUCGGGGAAGAAAAUGACUGUACCCGAAUAAGAAGGUCCGGCUAACUUCGUGCCAGCAGCCGCGGUAAUACGAAGGGACCUAGCGUAGUUCGGAAUUACUGGGCUUAAAGAGUUCGUAGGUGGUUGAAAAAGUUGGUGGUGAAAUCCCAGAGCUUAACUCUGGAACUGCCAUCAAAACUUUUCAGCUAGAGUAUGAUAGAGGAAAGCAGAAUUUCUAGUGUAGAGGUGAAAUUCGUAGAUAUUAGAAAGAAUACCAAUUGCGAAGGCAGCUUUCUGGAUCAUUACUGACACUGAGGAACGAAAGCAUGGGUAGCGAAGAGGAUUAGAUACCCUCGUAGUCCAUGCCGUAAACGAUGUGUGUUAGACGUUGGAAAUUUAUUUUCAGUGUCGCAGCGAAAGCGAUAAACACAC